CAAAAAGAGGUAGUUUAAAAGGGCUUUUAUUAGAAUUUAUAUAACUUUAUUAUCUUUUGAUAGUGACUUUGAAGUUUAUCUUAUUAGUAGUAAUCUUUAAAUAUUUAGAGUCAUCUUUGUUAGAUAUUGGUGACCCUUAAAGUCUUAUUUUGUUUCUUUUAUAUGGUGUUUAAAGCAUAUAAUAUAUAAAUCUUGUAAAAAAAAGAAUUGGAGAGGGAUUUUGGCAAAAAAAGUAGCUUAAAGCACCCAUAUGAAUGAAUGGAGAU
rnacentral:lncRNA from 1 species